rnacentral:rRNA from 1 species
UGGGGAAUUUUGCGCAAUGGGCUAACGCCUGACGCAGCAACGCCGCGUGGAGGAUGAAGGUCUUUGGAUUGUAAACUCCUGUCAGCAGGGAAAAAGCGACUUGGCCUAAUACGCCAGGGAGUUGAUUGUACCUGCAGAGGAAGCCCCGGCUAACUCUGUGCCAGCAGCCGCGGUAAUACAGAGGGGGCAAGCGUUAUUCGGAAUUAUUGGGCGUAAAGGGCGCGUAGGCGGCUUGGCAAGUGGAAGGUGAAAUCCCUCGGCUUAACCGAGGAACUGCCCUCCAAACUGCUUUGCUUGAGGCCGGGAGAGGCGAGUGGAAUUCCCAGUGUAGCGGUGAAAUGCGUAGAUAUUGGGAGGAACACCAGUGGCGAAGGCGGCUCGCUGGACCGGUUCUGACGCUGAGGCGCGAAAGCGUGGGGAGCAAACGGG